rnacentral:lncRNA from 1 species
UGUCUUUAUUUCCAGGAGUAGACUUCAAAAUACGUGCCAGAAAUGGACAAUUUGAGUGUCCUUUCUCCACAUCAAAUGCGAGCUGGAAGGGGGAUUAAAAACCAACCACGUGGUAGAUCUGGUUUUAUACUUUGCAACCUCCAGCUCCAUUUAUGUUCUUUACCCUGCUCAGGGAAGAUUAGCCUCUAGAUGGAUGUGUCUGAGGGAUCACCUCGGGGGCAGAUCUGCAUGUAGAAACCGGUUUUUGUCAUGGCUGGAAGAGAGCUAUGACCCAGCAGAGCCCUCCAUCCGAGCGGCUCCCCCAGCAUCGCAGGAGCUGCUGAGCGCUCCUGCACAGGAAGCUUUGUGAAGGCAACAGCUUGGAAGGGGAAGAUCUUCAGAUCUUUCCCCCUUCUUCUCCUCGUCCCUGGCCUGUGAGUGAUUCAGUGUCCCAAACCUUAACUUUCUGUUACCACCUUCUUCCUCUUAAUCUCCUUCAUCUUCAACACCUCCUCCUCUAUCACUAUCAUCUUCUCCUCCAUCUGUCUGCCUGCUGGAUUUCUCUCGCUUGCUUGCUUUCCCCCCUCCUCUUCCACCUCCCUCCUCUUUCUUCUUGCCUUUUCCUUCUCUCUUUUCUUCUCUUUUCUUUCUCUUUUUCCUCCUCUUCCCCUACACGUUGUUGUUGUUGUUAGAAAGGAUUCUUGCACCCCCUGGUGCUCUUGCGUUUUGUGUGGUUGGAGAGGAGAUUGUCUUCUUUCUCUCUCUCCCUCUGGUUGCUCAUUAUUCAGAGAGAGACACAGAGGGUGAGAGAGAGAGAGAGAGAGAGACGGAUAUCUCAGGUCAUCUGCAGCUGCAGCAAACCAGUGAAGGAGAGAGAGAGAGAGGGAGAGGGAGAGAGAGAGAGGGGGGGAAAAGCAGGGAAAGAUGGCGAUCCUCCAUUGCUGAGACCUGGCAAGGAGCACAUGAGACUCACAAAACAACUUCCACAACAAUAACAAGAAGAGCUAGGCAGAGAGGAAGAGGAGAGGAGAGGAGAGGAGAGGAGGCAGCAGCAAGAGCAGCAGUGCCGGGACACUCCUGCACUAAAGCACAUCUGAUGAGAAUCCUGCCGCGUGGAGCUGCAGGGAGGCCGGCAGAUGGUUGUGUCCUACCAGAAUGUGCAAGAAGAUUCUUUCUCACCUGGCAAAGGAAUGGGAAGCAAAUAAACCAAAUCAGUUCCAGUUCUGGAAGGGUUCUUUCAAGAUUCAGAACUCUGUAUGGCAGCAGUCUGACUGAAGGAGCUAGAAGCCAAUGCGAGAAGAAAGGAGAUCAGGAAUGAAGAAGGAGAAAGAUGUUGAAGCUGUUCCCCUUGUUUUUGGAAUGAGUGACUAUUUUAACCUGUAAAUAACACUCUGACUAGUGGUGUCCCAUGAUGAAAUGCAAGUAAAGAUAAUAUAAGAUAUAAAAAGACUACUUCUUCUUGACAAACCACUUUUUCUCAAUUUCUCUCCCAUAUUCUGUGUCAAAUCUUUUCUCCCAGGCACGGUGCAAGUCCUCUUGUCUUCAUCUUGAACAUUUCCCUUCUAGUAAUCAAGCCUACAGAUAUAGACCCUGUCUGCUCAGCUGUAAAGUAAACAAUACUUUUUUUCUUUUUUGACAGUGAACCUUCACUGCCGAAAUGAUCUUGUAGCUCAGGUGGCUUAUAUUAUAUCAGUAUUGCAACAUAUCUGAAGGGCAGGCUCUCCAGGGAGGGUGAACCAUAGCACCAGCCCCUGAUUAGCAUGUCUGGGUUCUGCUUCUUUCAGCCUCUGAGAUCUGGGAGAUCCACUGCAGGUUCUGCUUUCAGGUGGGGAGAAACUUACUCCUGUUUCAACCCUCAACCUCAUAAUAAAAGGCUGUAGUGAUCCACAUAAAGGUCUGGUCCUCAGCUGGGGAAAACUGGCAGAACUCCAGCAAAUUUCUAGAAAUAAAAACCUAGAGAAGUUUCUAAAACCACAGCAGUUGCUGGGACUUGCACAAUAUUCUACAGCUUGCAACAAUAGAGCAGCAUGGAGCUGGGAUAACACUGACAGCUUGAUAUUUUUUGUGAUCUCUUGAGAUUUUUUUGUGAGAAUGAAAAUCUUCAGGCGAGAACUUUGCUCCUGUUCUCUUGGUGGCAUUGACUUGGGUGGCUUUGUUUUUCUUUGAAAACUGAUAGCAGAAGGUUAUCCAACCUUCAGGAGUGGAGCCAUUAUAUGUGGGGCAGUGCAACAGGAGCCAACGUUUAAAAAUAAAAUACCAGGCUGCCUUCCUGAGGAUCCAGACAUAGCAAACACACACGCACACACAUACGCAGGACCUUGGCUCGCCAUGGUUGUAUCAGUUACAGAGCCCAGAGCAGCAGACAAUGAGAGGGAGCCUUGUUCCUCAAAAAGAAAGAGGAAGAAAUACAAGGCUUCUGUAGCCUCAGAUGCCAGUUUCUGGUGUGCAGGGGAGCCCCUCAGCAGCAGCAGCAGGUUGGGGGACAGACAGCUGCCCGCCAUUCCUGGUGAUGCCUGCUGUAGGCUCUGCCCAGCCCUCCCUUCCCUCUCCCACAUUUUCUCUGAUCUGCUGAGUUAGGGGUCUGAGCUGGGCAGUCUGUUUUUGAGAAUGUGCUCCCUUCUUAAAAGAGAAAAGCAGUGGCUUUUAUGUCAUACUUUUAAUGUCAGUGCUAAGUGACCAGGAUGACAAACACCUUCAGAGGAAAGGAAGGACCAGCUAUUUUGGCUUCAGAGCCAUGUUGCUGGCAUGUCGGACUGUAGAAAUAGCAAAUGAUCAGAUCAUCUUUCUAGAACACCUGGAGAAUGAGAGGCAUACAGAGGAGGUAGCGGACAGACCAGGAAGAAUAAUUUGUGAUAGAAAAGCAGAAAGGCUACAGAGGAGGUAGCGGACAGACCAGGAAGAACAAUUUGUGAUAGAAAAGCAGAAAGGUAUGGCUUAGUGCCAGGAAUACAGCUUGGAAAGUGAGGUAAGUUAUGUUAGAAAGGAAUGGUCUUUUGAAAGAAAGGGUGACUCUACUCAGACAAACAAGUCUAGGAACCUAGGAAGAUACAAUUCUUCAUUAGUUGUGAAUGUGGAGAGGGAUGAAGAAGGUGAAGGAUUUAACCCUUCUUUGCCUGCUGAUCCCACACCAACUCCCAUCGUGAUUGUGCGCUGGGCUGGCCAGGGUGGGAAACCGGGUUCCUCCAAGGUCUGGGUGUGGAGCAGCUGGGAUUGUCCUUCUCUCAGGUGUCACUGGCAGAAACUGUGUGCAGGAGGCAGCUGUGCACAGCCUUAUCUGCCCGUGCCCCACCUCAGGUGUGCUGGAAGAUUGGAGCCCAUGCUUUUGGCUGUGUGGUGUGCCCAGAUGCACCUCGAAAUAAAUGCAAACUUGAGUUUUUAGCCAGGUGUCUUCUUAGUGCACCAAGAAUGUUUGUUUCUGUAUCUCAGCUGGCAGCUGCAAGCAGGAAAAAAAUAAAAGAACAAAACAAAAAACACCCAAAGAAGAGGUGUUUUUCCUCAUCUCUGCCCAGGAAAAGUGGCAGUCACAGCUGCUCAUGACACAAUUGGCCUUUGGCAGAGCUCAGGCUGGUUCUGCUUUGCAGACAUAGGAUGAAGCAUGCUCAGUGUGCUUCCUUUCAGCAGGAAUGCCAGCAGUAUCUUGGGACUACUACAGAGGCUGCUCUGUAUCUGUAAGCUCCUUUUGCAGAGUUUGGGUUCACAUGAAACGUGAUCAGGAGUCCUUGGUAGGCUGUGCAUGGCUCUGAGCACAGAGCCUUUUGGAAAGAUGUGCUUUCUUAGACAUCCAGACUCUCAGUAUGGAACACUUAUUUUAUAAAAAAAAAGUAUUUUCAGAAAAAUCACAGUAGCUUCGCAUACUAUGGUUGAACAUAGGCUGAAGGUGAUGUGUAACCUAAAGGUUUUGUAGGAUGUGAUUCUCAUGCAAUCUAAGCAUUUUAAAAAAAUCUAUAAAAUAACUGUGUCUUGCCUGUGGUGAUGUACAAACAAUGAAGGAUAGGUGCAACUGUCAGCAUGUGAAAACUCACUGCUUGGUUUGCUGCUGUCAUAAAUUUUGUUCAGCCGGGGUGGAGUGGAGGUGUUCACAGGCUUUGUGGAUCCAGCUAGCAUGUGUGAAAGAGAGGUCUGAUUAAAUCAAACUUCCUCUUCUAUGGUCUUGAAUACCUCCUGCUUAAAAAAAAGAUACUGAGGAAGACCCAAAGAGUUCCUCUUGCAGGUGUCUUUAUGAAGGUGCUAUAAAGGAGACUCUCUCUGAUGACUGCUAGUAAGUGUUGAUGAGGUUUUGUCCAGAUUACUUGCUGGAACAGAAUUAAUAUUAUGUUGAUGAUUAUUUAGAAGAGUUUGGGAAGAAAGAUUCAGCAGUUUGGGCAAAGUCUUAUUAAGAAAUAAGCCUCUCACAUCAUCCAAGAAUUUAAGUUUUAUUAGCUGUCAGCCCUGCAGAAUAAAUAUUCUUUCUCACCCACAUAUAAAGCUCCCCUAAAAAACAAGUUUUUUUUUCCCAUGUGCAUCUUCCACUGCAAUAUCAAGAAAUAUGAGGGUUAGACCAUGUUCACCAACCCUGAACUCCAUCUACACUGUAAUUCUUCUCUGCAGCUCUGGAGACAUUUUGCCGAGUUGACCUAAAUUCUUCAGCAAAAGGUCUGGAUUCUGUGCAGAAAAGUGGAAAUGGCAACUCCAGCUAGAAAAUAAAUACAAAGAUAAAUAAAGAGCAUCAGUUGUACCCCUGUGUGUGGUGUUUUGAUUUACCCUUCCUUCUGUAAUUACAACUUCUGCCCAUGCUGGAGAGCUUUUUCAUUUCUUCUUCUUGUGGAAUGUUAGGACUGGGAUUCCAGGGACAGUGACACAGGAAGGUAGUGUGGCCUCACAGGGAAAGUCUGGAGUCUGGAAAGCCAUUUGUGCUGCUGGCUGUGCCACAGACCAGCUGUGUGACCUGGAGCCAGGCUGCCUCACUUUUUUGUGGUUCUCUACUACAAGGUAAAGGAAGAAGGUUUUUCUGUGGUGCAGACUCACACAACUUCCUUUUCACACAGAGCCCACCAGCAAGUGCAGCCUGAACUUCAUGAAUCAAAUAAAUAGGUUGUGACUGGAUGGAAUAGACUGUCAGUAUUUCUGCCUGAAAUACUUACAUGUGCCUGUUAGUUUCUUACGUGCAACUUAAAAUCAUGAGCCUUCAGAUUUCAUUUUGAAUUUGCAGCCAUUUGAAACCAGGGAGAUACUUCAGUCUUUGGUCUCUCUAAGAGCAAGUCACUUCUGCUGACUUUAAUGACCUGUCUGUGAUAAAUGAAUGGAAACCUGAAACAUAUGAUUCUGUCUUUUGUCAUGCUCCAGUGUUCCAUAAACAGC